GAUAGCAAUCCACAAUAUGCUGAAUCCGGUGUUUACUUACUCAAAUUUCGACAACUGCAGUCUCGAGCAUUGGGUAUGAUUCGCUCUCAUGUACUUUCUGUACUCAAAAUUGCGUCUUCUCAGGUUCAGUCAGCAAUCCGGAGCAAUAGUAGCAGCAAGGCAUCUCUUGCUGAGGGUGUAGAGGCAUCUGUUAUAUAUGUUCGUUUCAAGGCAGCGGAA